rnacentral:rRNA from 1 species
AUCACGCUGGCGGCGUGCCUAACACAUGCAAGUCGAACGAGAAAGUGGUAGCAAUCCAUGAGUAAAGUGGCGCACGGGUGAGUAACACGUGACUAACCUACCCUUGAGUGGGGAAAUAAACCUCGGGAAACCGGGGCUAAUACCGCAUAACACCUUCGGGUCAAAGGAGCAAUUCGCUUAAGGAGGGGGUCGCGGCUGAUUAGCUAGUUGGUGGGGUAAUGGCCUACCAAGGCAAUGAUCAGUAUCCGGCCUGAGAGGGCGCACGGACACACUGGAACUGAAACACGGUCCAGACUCCUACGGGAGGCAGCAGUGGGGAAUUUUGCACAAUGGGGGAAACCCUGAUGCAGCAACGCCGCGUGGAGGAUGAAGUCCCUUGGGAUGUAAACUCCUUUCGACCGGGACGAUGAUGACGGUACCGGUGGAAGAAGCCCCGGCUAACUCUGUGCCAGCAGCCGCGGUAAUACAGAGGGGGCAAGCGUUGUUCGGAAUUAUUGGGCGUAAAGGGUGCGUAGGCGGUGCGGUAAGUCUUCUGUGAAAUCUCCGGGCUCAACUCGGAGCCUGCAGGAGAAACUGUCCGUGCUUGAGUAUGGAGAGGUGAGUGGAAUUCCUGGUGUAGCGGUGAAAAUGCGUAGAUAUCAGGAGGAACACCUGUGGCGAAAGCGGCCUCACUGGACCAUAACUGACGCUGAGGCACGAAAGCUAGGGGAGCAAACAGGAUUAUGAUACCCUGGUAGUCCUAGCCCUAAACGAUGAUUGCUAUGGUGUAGCAGGUACCCAAUCCUGCUGUGCCGCAGCUAAACGCGUUAAGCAAUCCGCCUGGGGGAGUACGGUCGCAAGGCUGAAACUCAAAGAGAAUUGACGGGGAGCCCGCACAAGCGGUGGAGCAUGUGGUUCAAUUCGACGCUAACGCGAAGAACCUUACCUGGGCUCGAAGCGCAGUGGACAGCGGUAGAAAUAUCGUUUUCUCCCGCAAGGGACUGCUUGCGUAGGUGCUGCAUGGCUGUCGUCAGCUCGUGUCGUGAGAUGUUGGGUUAAGUCCCUGCAACGAGCGCAACCCUUUAUUGUCCAGUUGCCAUCAUUUAUGUUGGAGCACUCUGGCGAAACUGCCCCGGAUAAACGGUGGAGGAAGGUGGGGAUGACGUCAAGUCCUCAUGGCCUUAUGUCCAGGGCUACACACGUGCUACAAUGGCAGAUACAAAUCCGUCGCAAGCCCGCGAGGGGGAUGAGCUAAUCUGGAGAAAGUCUGCCUCAGUUCGGAUUGUAGUCUGCAACUCGACUACAUGAAGCUGGAAUCGCUAGUAAUCGCAGAUCAGCAUGCUGCGGUGAAUACGUUCCCGGGCCUUGUACCAUCACCGCCCGUCACAUCACGAUAAGUGGGUUUGUAACUAAGAAGUCGGUGAGCCGACCCGCAAGGGGGUUAGCCGCCCAAAGGUAUAACUCAUGAUUGGGGUG